rnacentral:rRNA from 1 species
UCCGUAGGUGAACCUGCGGAAGGAUCAUUAACAUUAAUCCAACCAUCUAAACCUAGCCUUAUGUACUGUAGUAGUUGUAGCUAGUUUAACGACAGGCUUAUGCAGCUACAGUAUCAAUCACAACUAAUUGAAAGGAGUCUAACUAAGCUUUACAACCAAUAUCAAAUUCUCAACGAUGGAUAUCUUGGUUCCCAUAACGAUGAAGAACGCAGCGAAGUGCGAUAAGCAGUGCGAAUUGCAGAACCGUGAGUCAUCAGAUCUUUGAACGCAAAUGGCGCUAGUUGGUUACCCAGCUAGCAUGCUUGUUUCAGUGUCUUGUUUUCUCAUCACCAAUAUCUUAAUGUGAGAGAUGACCUUCUCUUGCUAAGUAUGAAAGUACACUGUACUUUGCAGGCAACUUUCGGGUUGCACUCAAUGCAGCGGUCACAUUUCGAUGUGAACUCGUUGAGAGUAAAGACAGCCAGCGGUUUAAUUACUGCUAACUAGUGCUUAGAGAUCACAAAACUUUACUUGUAUCUGGAAAUCAAGGCAGGGGGAUCACCCGGCUGGAACUUAAGGCAUAUCAAUAAGGCGGGGAGGGGAAGGUGGGGGACUG